rnacentral:rRNA from 1 species
GCCAUGCAUGCCUCCGAAUAGAAGAGCAAUCUCUCUGAAUCUGCGAACGGCUCCGCAAACCAGUUGUAAACCAUAGCAAGCAUGCUCCAGGAAAGCCGCAAGGCAGCCCUGGGGCUACAAGGAUAACCCCGGUAAUUCUGAGGCUAAUACAUGAACGUAACCCCUGGUCGAUGGGCAACCUGAGGCUGGGGACCGUGCGAGACCUCGCAAAAAUUUAUCGGAAAAGUCGCAUCGUAAGACCGCCAUACCAAACAGUCCUUUUCUGUCGCCCUCACGGGAGGCCGGAUCGUUCUGGGCGGCUCUUGCAAGGUGCUUCUGACCUAUCAACUAGAUGGCAGCGUAAGGGACAUGCUAUGGUGACAACGGGUACAGAGGAUAAGGGUUCGAUCCUGGAGAGUGGGCCUGAGAGAUUGCUCACACUUCUAAGGAAGGCAGCAGGCGCGCAACGUUCCCCUUGGGCAAUGCCCGAGGGCGUUAGGGGACAUAUGAAUGCCUGCCAUUUGGUGGGCAAUUCAAAUGGGUCUGUUCUAAACAGCCUCUCGAGUAA